UACGUAGGGGGCAAGCGUUGUCCGGAUUUAUUGGGCGUAAAGAGCGUGUAGGCGGUUUGGUAGGUCCGCUGUGAAAACUCGAGGCUCAACCUCGAGACGCCGGUGGAAACCAUCAGGCUAGAGUCCGGAAGAGGAGAGUGGAAUUCCUGGUGUAGCGGUGAAAUGCGCAGAUAUCAGGAGGAACACCGGUGGCGAAGGCGGGUCUCUGGGCAGUAACUGACGCUGAGGAGCGAAAGCGUGGGGAGCGAACAGG
rnacentral:rRNA from 1 species